CUACACCCCCAAACUGAGACAAACACAUUGUAUCAGAAAGAGAGUUGAGGAACAAAAGCUCCAAGACUCAAAUAACUACUAGAAACUUCAGAACAGACACCCCACUGACAUCAUCCUUUAAAUGUAGGAAGGAGCUUCAUACUCGUCUUGCAACCCAGGAUAUGGACUCGCCUUCCCUGUUUGCUUACCUUCCUAUGACCUGCCAUUUCUAGCCUUCUGUCUCUGCCAAAAAACAAAGUUUUGUUCUGACUACAUGAAAGAACAUUGCUGGAGUCUGCGGCUGUUUGGAAGAAUAUCUCCAAGUGUGAGGCUGAACGUCUUCAAUUAAUUUUCAAAGAACGUUUUCUUCCAUGGAGAUGUGUUUGGGAUUUCGGGACUCAAAGCAUUGUGUUUUAAGCCUUGUUUCAAACUGAGCAUCCUUCUUUAAUUUUUCUCAUCACACAGAGUGUACACUAGUAGGCAGCUCCCUGGGACCUGUGUCUGAUCACAGCCCACAUUCAGCGGGAGGGACCUUCCAAGGCAAGAUCUAAAGUGGCGAUAGCACAGAAAGAAACAGAAGCCUUCUGAGAAGCUCCUUUUGUCUUUCAUAAGUGAAGUGGAAGAACCAGGACUGGACAGAUGGAGAAAUUGAACUGUGAUGCAAUUGAAACAAAGGCCUCAGCUGAUCCCUGGGGGAGCACUGGAGCAGGAAGGCCCCUCAGAGUUAUCCUGAAUUGAGGCAAAGAGGCCGGUCCUUUCAACUUUCCUGGCCCCAACAUCAGUCAGUCAUUGAAUGCAGGCUGCCCCUAGGGAGAAGGCACAGACUUAGGCAAGGCAGCUCCCUUUGGCAGAAGACAAAGCCCAGAGAAAGAGGGAACUCCUGGAGACAAAACUGGCUGUCUUUUUCGGCAACCAACACUCCUAGCUGUCAACAGACAGAAUGAGCCCAUAAAAGUGGGGCGGGUGGGGGGGUGUGGGCAGCAGCCACUGAGGAUCUAUCCCCAGCUUUGCCACCAGCAAGUGAACCCGAACAACCCACUCAGCUUUCCUAAGUUUUCGUUUCCUUAUAUGGAUGUAAGGGAAGCAGAAGAGCCAAGUUCUACCUGAUAUACUUUGCAUUCUGACUUUUUAUUUUAAGAAUUAUUCUAAUUUUCUGUUUCAUUUGCAGUUUUGAAAAUGAUAUUUUCAAGACAGGGCAAAGAGGAGAGAAUCAGAUGGGAAUAUUUUCUGAUUUUCAUAAAAACAGAUGGUUCUAUCUAUGCACUGCUUCAUUUAAAAUAACCUCAAAGUCAGUAUUUAGUUUCCAUAAGCUGAGGAUUUCUGACUUUCUUUUAUCACUCCGCAUCUUCACAAGGUUUCUUGGUUUUAUUAUGCUGCCUGGCUUUGUCACUGUGCUGUGGAAUCCAUUGCUUUAUUUUACGAUCCUAAGUUGUAUCUAUUCACCUUUAAACACACAUACACACGAAGACCAAUUUUCACUGAUGAAUCUAAAAAAGACUUCAGAAUACAAUCUUAUCAAUGUCACUGUGAUUGGGUAAGACUGCUUUUAAACUAUCCCUGGGCAAAAGGUUGAUAACCCAUUCUUAAAUGUCUCCAAGGUGCUCUGUAGGAAUGCGAUAUAUCUUUCAUUCAAGGAUCAGCAACCCCUACAGGUAGGAAGUUCUUUCUGAUAUCUAACCUAAAUCUCUCCUACUGCAAUUUCAUGCCACUUCCUUUUCAUCCUUAAUGAAUUAGGAAAGGAGCUGGUAAUCACCGUCAGUCACUUAACUCUUAGAAUUUUCAUAUGUUUAACUUUACUAGAAUUUAUUUAUACCCAAACAUUGUCUCCUCCAUGACAUUUCAUCCCACUUAGCUAGUAUCUACUAUUUAACUCUUAAGAAAUAUUAUUUAGUCUUUUUAGUACAUUUUCUAGCUUCUAUAUAUAUUUCAUAAACUAUGGCAACCAAACUUAAUGAGUCUUUAAAACACCGUGAAUGAUGAAGUCUUUGUUAAUUUGGGGGUUGGCAUGUUACAAUCUAACGUAGAUUAGCUUUCAAAUUGCC
rnacentral:lncRNA from 1 species